rnacentral:rRNA from 1 species
CCCUACUAUGCCUAGCCCUAACACAAUAAUAAAAUCACCAAUUAUUCGCCAAAUAACUACGAGUACAAACUUAAAAUUUAAAAGACUUGACGGUACCUCAUAACGACCUAGAGGAGCCUGUCAAAUAACCGAUACCCCACGAUUAACCCCACCCCCCCUAGCCUACAGUCUAUAUACCGCCGUCGCCAGCCCACCUUAUGAAAGAAAUAAAGUGAGCCAAAUAGCUACACACUAACACGACAGGUCGAGGUGUAACUAAUGGGGGGGUAAAAGAUGGGCUACAUUUUCUAGUACAGAAAACACGAAUAAACUAUGAAACAAGAAACUGAAGGCGGAUUUAGCAGUAUAUUUAGAAUAGAAUGCUUAAUAGAAAUUAACGCAAUGAGGUGUGUACACACCGCCCGUCAUCCCUGUCAAAUCAACCCUAAAACAUACAUAAUUAAACAUAAUUACUAAAACAGGGCAAGUCGUA